ACACCAUGGAGACCUUACUCCUCUUUCUUUGCGUCUUUUCAACUCUUGAACAAGGGGCCCUCUCUCAAAUUCAGUUGACUCAGUCUGGGACAGGAACAGUCAAACUCGGGGAGUCCAUCCGGCUGACAUGCGCUGUAUCUGGUACUGUCAUCACUGAUAGAUAUGGUUACCACUGGAUCCGACAGCCUCCCAACAAAGGGCUGGAAUGGAUUGGGAGAGGAUACUACAGCAGCUCUACCUGGUACACUAAUUAUGCCUCAGCCUUCCAGAGCAGGGUCUCCAUCACUCCUGAUACCUCCAAGAAUGAGUUUUACCUUCAGCUGAGCUCCGUGACAGCUACAGACACGGCCACCUAUUACUGUGCACGAGAAGCACAGUGA